rnacentral:rRNA from 1 species
CGGUGUUCAACUGGCGUGCCCGCGGGACGUCCUGCCGGUGAGCUCAGCCCGCGAGGGCGGCUCAACUUGAAAUCCCAUCGCGGUGCUCUUCAUUGAGUGUCGAGGUGGGCCGGCACGAUUACUUUUGAACAAAUUAGAGUGCUUAAAGCAGGCUAAAAUUUUGCCUGAAUACUGUGUAUAUGGAAUAAUGGAAUAGGACCUCGGUUCUAUUUUGUUGGUUUUCGGAACCCCGAGGUAAUGAUUAAUAGGAACGGAUGGGGGCAUUCGUAUUGCGACGUUAGAGGUGAAAUUCUUGGAUCGUCGCAAGACGGACUAAAGCGAAAGCAUUUGCCAAAAACGCUUUCAUUGAUCAAGAACGAAAGUUAGAGGUUCGAAGGCGAUCAGAUACCGCCCUAGUUCUAACCAUAAACUAUGCCAGCUAGCGAUCCGCCGACGUCCCUCUGAUGACUCGGCGGGCAGCUUCCGGGAAACCAAAGCUUUUGGGUUCCGGGGGAAGUAUGGUUGCAAAGCUGAAACUUAAAGGAAUUGACGGAAGGGCACCACCAGGAGUGGAGCGUGCGGCUUAAUUUGACUCAACACGGGAAACCUCACCAGGCCCAGACACUGGAAGGAUUGACAGAUUGAGAGCUCUUUCUUGAUUCAGUGGGUGGUGGUGCAUGGCCGUUCUUAGUCGGUGGAGCGAUUUGUCAGGUUAAUUCCGAUAACGGACGAGACUCUGACCUGAUAACUAGACGCACUUGCGGCAUCUCAAAGGUCCGCCGGCGGCUGGCUUUGCGCCCGUCGUCGCGCGCGAUUUUUACUGCCGGCGUACAAUAAAUUCUUCUUAGAGGGACAAGUGG